GCCAGUAUGGCAUAGUGCUUUCAGUGCUUGACUGCAACUCUGGAGACCUGGGUUCAAUUCCCAGCUUGGCCA